UAUGAAUUUACAUUUAUUCAUUAAUUAUUAUUUUAAAGAUUAAUUGUCAAUGAUAACAGCUCUAAAUCACUGUCACGGCCAUCGACCGCUAGAUUUAGAUGUCUAUUUGAGUUUAUUUUUAGUACUAUUGGAAUCCUUGCUGCUUAAGCAUUGCAUCAGUAUAUGUUUCAUUGGAAACCAAGGUCCCUUUCGACACAGAUUUAUGGUCAAAAUUUUAAAUCUCAAAACUUUGACCAUAGAUGGAAGAUCGAUUUCUAGUGAAACAUGUACCUUUGUAAUCCUCCACUGAUGACGAUUUCGACAAUACUAAAAACAAUAUCAAACAAAACUAAAACGUUGUAUCGGUGGUGGUUCGUAUGCUUGAUCUGACUGUCGAUGAUUUAUUUUAUUUUUAUUUUACAAAUAAAAUAAUAAAUUUAAUAUAAUAACAGUAUAAAAUAUUAAUAAAUAUACAGAAUAAUAAUUUUAUAUAAGUAAUGGCAUAAAAUAUUAUUUUAGAUAAUACAAUAUAAUGUAACACCAGAUAUUGUACAACAUUAAUAUAUUACACAUUUAAUACAAUGCAACAUAAUACAUUGUACCAUCAUUAAAGAAUCAAAUACAUCAUAAUAAAAUUUGGCAACUUGCAUUACACUGAAUUGCACUACCUUAAAACAUUGUUCUUAUGCUAACCCUCCUUUGGCUAUAAUUUCUGGUUGCAUUACACAACAAUAAAAAGAUGGCUAACACAAUGAAAGGUAUAUAAAAUAAAACCAAGGGGAGAUAGGGUUUAGGCUUAAUUGUAUUAAAACAUUGUUCUUAUUUUAAAUAUAAUCAUUUAAUUUU
rnacentral:lncRNA from 1 species